UACGUAGGGUGCGAGCGUUGUCCGGAAUUAUUGGGCGUAAAGGGCUCGUAGGCGGUUUGUCGCGUCGGGAGUGAAAACACCGGGCUUAACUCGGUGCUUGCUUUCGAUACGGGCAGACUAGAGGCAUGCAGGGGAGAACGGAAUUCCUGGUGUAGCGGUGAAAUGCGCAGAUAUCAGGAGGAACACCGGUGGCGAAGGCGGUUCUCUGGGCAUGUCCUGACGCUGAGGAGCGAAAGCAUGGGGAGCGAACAGG
rnacentral:rRNA from 1 species